rnacentral:lncRNA from 1 species
CUAUCACUGUGAAAUAAUUUAAUACAGCACUAAUUGUUUAUAGAUUAAGUUUAACAAUCCAUGAUUACUUCUCUCCUUGAGAAGUUAUGAUUUCCUCAAGUUCCUGAUAUUAAAGAAAUAGCAAAGUAUACAAUAUGAUAAAGAUAUUAGAAAGAAAAGAGAAAUUGAAAUGAAAGAAGAUAUUACCUUCAAACUUUUGUUUAAAAAACAAAAAUUAACAUUUUCAUGUGUCUUGUUUUUAGCAUAUAAUUUUUUUAAACCAAAAAUUUAAAUAAUUUAAGUUUUAUUUUCAACGUUAUAAAGGUUGUCAUUAUGCAUCAUUUUAAGCCUCUCUUUUUCAUAUAUCUAACACUGACAAUGUCAUAAUUGUGUUUGACAACAUUAACAUGUAAAUAACUACAAAACUAGAUUAAGUGUUUACAAUAUUGUUCUAAUUUAAGUUCUGUAAAUACAAAUAGUACCAUUGUCUAAACUGUUGAUUGAUUUUUAUAUAGAUUAACUAGGCCCAAAGUAAAAAACUAUUGGACAAAAUAGAAUUAAUACUGGGAAUGAAGCUACAAUUUUUGUAAUUCAAAUGUGUUAACAAUCUUAAUGAAUACAGCACUUUAAAUAUAGACAUCAAUUAUGAACGACUAUCUGUCUCAGGUUCCCUGUAAAUUAACCAUCUCAAUAGUGUUUUCCUUUGAAUAUUUUUGAAUGAAGAUGACUGAAAGG